UAGAACGAUCUUCACUAACUUCUAAAGGGAGUUCAGGUAGUGAACUUAUUCACAACCCACUUGUUGAUUGAGAUCUAGGUCUUGGUCCUCUUGAUCUAAAAUUUUUAAUGAAAUGGUAAGCUACACUAACCCAGUAAGAAUAUCACACUACUCACCGAUACAGAAACUGAAGAUUGGUAAAAAUUAUAAAAAUAACCAAUAGAGCUCUUGAUUUAAGUAAAUUCAUUUAU
rnacentral:lncRNA from 1 species